CCAACACCUCAGAGUUGGGAUUUUGAAACAAACAAAAAAAGCCCCGUCCUAACAGUGAUCAUGUGUCUCCCACAGGCUGCGGACGUGAAUCAGACUGCAAAAAGGAUCUUGCUUUUCGCUCCGCAGGAGGAGAUGGGGAAGUCGGAGUCAUCCUGCUGGAGAGUUUUCCUCUCAUCUCACUUCAGCCCCAUUCCUGCUGUCUCUGGACGGCUUGCUGUAGCCGCAGCACUCUGACCUGACACAUCCGUGUCACGGUGCCUUCUCCACGCCAAUCCCAACACCAAGCCAAACCUCCCUAUGAUGCAAGCUGGAAACUUUACCAAAGCCCGUGGACCAGCAGUGGAUAAUGUCAGCCAGAGAUCUGGCUCACGGAGUUCUUAGUGCCUUUGAGCUAGCAAGGCCAAAGGGAUAUGAACCACACAUGGAAGUCUCAUGCUUUGUAAAAGGAAAGAGAAACCAGAGGGGCUCCAGCAGUUAUACAAGAUGCAGGAGCUGUUUGAGAGCUGCCUCCUGAAGGAUUAGCUACAAAUCCUUGUUCCCUUCACAGCUGUAGCCUUGUGUCUGUGUGCAUCCUGUAAAGCAGCGUAGAAAUGAAUAAAUAAAAAGGACAGCAUUAAGUAACA